rnacentral:rRNA from 1 species
CAGAGGGUGCAAGCGUUAAUCGGAUUUACUGGGCGUAAAGCGCGCGUAGGUGGCCAAUUAAGUCAAAUGUGAAAUCCCCGAGCUUAACUUGGGAAUUGCAUUCGAUACUGGUUGGCUAGAGUAUGGGAGAGGAUGGUAGAAUUCCAGGUGUAGCGGUGAAAUGCGUAGAGAUCUGGAGGAAUACCGAUGGCGAAGGCAGCCAUCUGGCCUAAUACUGACACUGAGGUGCGAAAGCAUGGGGAGCAAACAGGAUU